rnacentral:ncRNA from 1 species
AAGUUUUUACGUGUUUUGAAUUGAUUUCUUGAUGAUUUUAUUUAUAUGGUUUUUCGCAGUAAAGGAUUUUAUUAAUUAAUUGUAGUUAGAUUUGGUAAUUUUGUUUAAUUAUUGGUAAAAUUUGUGCCAGCAUCCGCGGUUAUACAAUAAAUGGUAGUAAAUAUUUUUGGUUUUAAUGAUAGUUAAAUAUAUAUAUUUGGAAUUAUUAUUUUAUUUUUAGGUGAAAUUUUAAUUUUUAUUAUAAUUCUUUUUAUUUGAAGCUAUUAAAUUUUUAAUUUAAACUAGGAUUAGAUACCCUAUUAUUUUUGAUGUAAAUUUUAUUAACCUGAGUAGUAUUAGUUAUGACCUUGAAACUUAAAGAAUUUGGCGGUAUUUUAUUCUAUUUAGAGGAAUCUGUCCCUUAAUCGAUAAUCCGCGUUGGACCUUACUAAAUUUUAAUAGUAUGUAUACCGCCGUUUAUUUGAGAAUCUUUAUAGAGUUAAUAUUGAAUUUUCGAUAUUUGUUUAUAAAGUUUAUUUCAGGUCAAGGUGCAGCUUAAUAAUUUAGUGGAGAUGGAUUACAUUUAUAUUUAUUAUUGGAUUAAAUUUUGUAAUAAGUUUAUUAAAUUGGAUUUAAUUGUAAUUUUUUGUAGAUUGUAAAAAUGAUAAAAGCUCUAUAAUAUGUACACAUCGCCCGUCACUCUCAUUAAAUUUAUUAGGUGAGAUAAGUCGUAACAUAGUGGUUGUACCGGAAGGUGUAGCUGGAAUGAAAUAU